rnacentral:rRNA from 1 species
CCCUUAGAUGUCCUGGGCCGCACGCGCGCUACACUGAGUGUCUGAGAUACGAGUCUGCCUGGUCCGGCAAGGUCUAGGUAAUCGCUAAAAGACACAUCAUGCUUGGGAUAGAUUAUUGCAAAUAUUAAUCUUGAACGAGGAAUUCCUAGUAAGCGCAAGUCAACAGCUUGCGUUGAUUACGUCCCUGCCCUUUGUACACACCGCCCGUCGCUACUACUGAUUGGAUGUUUGAGCGAGGUUCUCGAACUGCUAGCGACUUAGCUUCGGUGAGGUCGCAGUGUGGGAAGUGAACCGAGCUUUGGUGUCUAGAGGAAGUAAAAGUCGUAACA